CUCCUGCUAACUACAGAAAUUACAUCUGAGUGCCUCAGGCACUAAAGUCUUUUUAUUUCCUUGCUGUACCAUGCCAGGUUCCUCCCUAGACCCUUACAAUGGCUGGGAUCCGAAUUCAAGGUAGACACCAGGUUGGGUUCUCCAAACAAUCUUGAGAUCAGACUCUCAGCCUCCCUCUCUGUGAAGAAUGUGCCUAGAAGAGACAAGACACUCAGAUACAAACAGAAGACACACAAGUCUUUGAAGAUGAAGCCUGGCUGUCCAUGAAAAAUGUGAAUGAGCUGGAAAAAAAUAUAUUUUACCCUAAGCAACAGCACAAGUGAUUUUUAACAUCAAGGACAGAAGAUAGACUGAAAUUAAAUUAUGGUUGCAAUGAAAUGGACGAAUCCCAG